CCCACUCAAGCUGGGUGAGGGUGAGGCUCUGCCUCCUCUCCCCACCCAUCUCCUAGGAAGGACCCCACAGGAAGGAAGGAGAAGGCAGUGGAUGCUGGGCCUCUACCAUUGGGAACUCAGAUAGUUAGCACCUGCCUAUCAUAUGCUAAGCUGUGUUUCGAAUGCUGGGAAGAUAACAGUGAAUGAGCCAGGCAAAGUUCUUCUCUUCUAGAUCUUAUCUUCUGAAAAGGGGAGGCAGCAAUGGAGAAGAGACAUUACUGAAGACAUUGCUAAGAUGUGCUGGCCACACAGCAGGUUGGUAUGGUCAACUGUGACAUGGGAAGGAUGGAGACUGGUUAGACAGCCGGAGUGGCGCCACAGUUUCUGCUGUAGUACCACAGACAUUCUGUUUAUUUAGAAUUUAUUACUUCACAAAGCAAAUUCCCCUAAUUUUUCUUUUCAAAGUUUUGGUUACUGUAUUGUUCUUAUACAUUUAUCCUUAUAAUUAAAUUUUAAUAACUAUCCAGUUUUAUUAACUUUAUCAAGUUUUAUUAACUUUAUCAAGUUCUAAAGGUAAUAUGCAAUUUUGAUUUGCAUUUCAUUAAAUAUAUAUUAAUUUGAGGAAUACUACCAUAUUUACAAUGUUUAUUUUUCCUAUUGAGUAAAAAAAUUACCCUUCAUGUUAUUCAGAUCUUUCAUUAUGGCUUCUGUUAACUUUGAUCAUGAGGAUCUUGCAUAUUUCUAUUAAGUGUAUUUUGCCAUGUUUCAUUUUUUUGUUGCUAUUGUGAUUGUGAUUUAACCAUGAUUGGGAUUUUGUAGAAAGAAAAAAGAUUGCUAAGAAUUCUAUCUGAAGACAUUUUGCUGUUGUGGUGCCUCAACUUCAUCACGAUCGUAUCUUCUCUAUAAAUCACACUUCCAUCAUUUAAUGUAUCCCUAUUUAUUUCACUUGCACUCCACCUUUUCAAAGAAUAACAAUAUCAAAAGGCCAGUGUUUUUAGGUUACAUGAAUGACGUAAGUCCAUGAAGCUGCUUUUUUCCAACACCAUGAGUCAUCCUGUGCUUCAUGUAUUGCUGAGAGAAAAGGACCCAGACUAAGUGGAAAAGGAGAAAAAGGAAACAAAAACACGUCUUCAUGGGUUAACAAGAAAUACAUUUUAUGAACAGUAAAGGAUUAACAAUAUA